rnacentral:rRNA from 1 species
UACGUAGGGUGCGAGCGUUGUCCGGAAUUACUGGGCGUAAAGAGCUCGUAGGCGGUUUGUUGCGUCGGCUGUGAAAUCCCGAGGCUCAACCUCGGGUCUGCAGUCGAUACGAGCAAACUAGAGUGUUGCAGGGGAGACUGGAAUUCCUGGUGUAGCGGUGAAAUGCGCAGAUAUCAGGAGGAACACCCGUGGCUAUGGCGGCUCUCUAGUACGGUACUGACGCUGAGACGCGAAAGCGUGGGGAGCGAACAGG